UGGUGGAGUGAUUUGUCUGGUUAAUUCCGUUAACGAACGAGACCUUUUGGGGUGGUUAGGGCCGCGAAUCCGCGAGGAUUGCGCCGGCGCUUCCUACUCCGACUAUCGGUGUAUUUUAAGAUUGAAACCGAGGGAAGGUAAAGGCAAUAACA
rnacentral:rRNA from 1 species